rnacentral:rRNA from 1 species
UACGAAGGUGGCAAGCGUUGUUCGGAUUUACUGGGCGUAAAGGGAGCGUAGGUGGUUAGGUAAGCCCUCCGGGAAAUCUUCAGGCUUAACCUGAAAAGGUCGGGGGGGACUGCCUGGCUAGAGGACGGGAGAGGAGCGCGGAAUUCCCGGUGUAGCGGUGAAAUGCGUAGAGAUCGGGAGGAAGGCCGGUGGCGAAGGCGACGCUCUGGAACGUUUCUGACACUGAGGCUCGAAAGCGUGGGGAGCAAACAGG